rfam:Planctomycetes bacterium RBG_13_46_10 RBG_13_scaffold_831, whole genome shotgun sequence.
GGGCUCGUAGCUCAGUUGGUUAGAGCGCACGCCUGAUAAGCGUGAGGUCGGAAGUUCGACUCUUCCCGGGCCCA